AAAUGGAGAACAGCUGCUCACGCUCGUCGUCUGACAUCAGCUAUUUCUCAGGAUGACCCUGCGAGACAGGCCAGGGUCAUUAGACCCAAUUUGGUUCUCAGCAAAUAUGUGUUUAUUCCUGCAUGCGUGGGCCACAGGCUGGUUUCUUGGGUGCAAUGAAUAGCUGCAGGUUUAUUAGGGUGUCUUUUUAGAUGGAUGUAUGUUUCCCGAUGUCUAUAGAACACUCCGGACCCCGGAGAGUGAAGACUCUGCCUGUCGGACUUGCUUUGAGAAGAUCCUUCUCCACCUCCCCAUGGCAGAAGUUGCUUCACAGAGGGGAACAGUUUUAUGGAUGUGGCUGAGACCUUAAACUUGAGGCAACCCAUCUGAGGUGGCAUCCAGAGGAGACUGGCUGGCCCCUCCUUCACCUUGGAUGUAGUGCUGUUUCUAGGAUCUCUUUUCAAUCAGCAAAACAGGGGAUGUUCCAAGAGGGUGUGGAUUCCCUGCCAUCCCACAUGGUCAAGUGGAGGGGACGGGAAAAAGCUAUGAAGGGUUUGUGACCACACAGACUCUCCUGGCCCCCUGUCCUUUUGGAAAGAAGACAGGGAUGAAAUAUAAUCAAGCAAUUAACCACCCCCAUCAUCACCAAGAACAACAGUAUCAACAAGAAGAACAGGGACAACAAAACCCACGGAUGAAACAUUCCUUUCUCAGCUCAGAUCUUAUCUGGUGCGUUCUCUCUCUGCUCUGUCUUGGUGUGUGGUUUAGAGAAACAUGGACAACGCUGUUUGGAAGAACAGAACUUGCCCUCUGCUGAAGGUGCUGCCUCACCAUGAGGUUAUACUCCUACCUCAGGGAUCACAAGGUGGCUCCCUGAACAGCUCCUUGCUGCCAUUUUGUGAUGACACCAUCUUUAACACCUGGCUUCUGAAGUCUCAUGGAGAGGUCUCUAUCCAGGGAGUACAUUGGAUACUUUCGCGGUCUCUGUGGACGGGGAGACAGCACACUGGAGACUAACACCAUGUUGGCCUGGACAUGAUGCAUGACCCUUACGCCCAUGUUCCAUUGUCUGUUCCAGGGAAACAGCUGGAUUCAGACUGAACUGGCAGACACUGCACGUGUUCUACAGAGAAGAAAGAGGAUGAUGGUAAAGCAGACUGCAGUCUUCAGGCCUGGAGCAGAGAAGGGAGAGUUCCUGCUCUAGUAGCCAGUCCUGCCAGGGUUCUGGCUGUGCCGGGACAGUGAAUGGCCACUCCGUCCCAGAUGAGCUGCAGGAAGCGUUUCGAUGUCAUGUGGAGGUGAUGGCGAUUUUCAACUCAUUCCCGUUACAAACAGCCGACCUUCCUACCGAGUUCAAGUACCUUCUGCCUGGCCUGGAAGAACAAUAUCUCUCUGUCUCCCUCUUCCACUGGCCCUCACCUGCCUUCCCCUGAACAUGCAUUUUGCCUGACAGGAGACAGAGGCAGUUGAGAUGGAGUCUUGCUAUAUGGCCCAGCUGGUAAUGCCUAGAUUCUUGAGUCCCUCCCUGGCUCAUCCCUGGGAGCAGCACUGAACCCCUUGUCUGACACCUGUCUGGAAAUGGAGCCUGCACAUUGACCCUAGAUGCUUGCAGCUUGGUCCAGGAGGCCAGCAGGACCAGAGAGAAGACCACAGCGACACAUGGGGAUGGCUGUCCCACAGGCAGAAAUGAGCAGCCGGGAGGAAGCCCAGGCAGCCAGCCACCCAGCUCCCUCCACAUCGUGGCCCUAGAACGGAGUCUUGAAGAAUAAGAAGCCACAGCUUGUCAGGGAAUCAGGCUGGAAAAAUGUUAUGAGACUGAGUAAGACCAGAGAUUCCUCAGCAGUGCCUGGAGAAGACCAGGAGAGGAAGCAGAAGACCCUCCUCAAAGAAGCAGCCUUCACCUCCAGACCUCCCAGCGGGACUUAGACAAUGGGGUUAGGCAGUCACAUGUCUGCACGUGGAAACUUUCUGGGACUGUGCUUGGAUCCUGGCUCUGCCUUUUACUAGCCAUGUGACCUUGGGAAAAUCACUUGACUUCUCCGUGCAGGAUUCCUCAUCUGUAAAAAUGGUCUAAGAUUAGGAGCCACCUCAAGGUUGUUGUAGGAAUUAAAUUAAUUCAUGUUUAUAAAGUGCUUUGAACAGCGUUUGGCACAUGGAGAAUUAAAUGAGCAAACGGAAGAGCAGCAACCCUGAGUUACAUUUCUCAAGACACCGGGGCUCUUGAUGGCACAGCAGCAGCUUGCUAGAGCUUGGUAAAGAGACUUGGGCCUGGUACCUGAAGGGCAAUUCCUUGGCCAUGACAUUGUAGGGAAAGACCUCUAUGGGUGUUGAAAAGACAAGGCGAGGACAAGAAGAGUUGAAAAGGAGCUGUUCUGAAGCCACCUGGCUGUGGAUGGAGGAAGCCACAUGUAGCUUAGGUAGCCUGCUAUUGUAAUUUUUUCUGCAACUGAAGAAUUCGAAAUGGGUUUGGUGGGUAGCGAAGGGCAGAAUCUGGCUUCAAGGUGACAGAGUUUGCAUAGAGAUGGCCUUCUUGAGCAAAGGUAGUGACUCCUACAUUUUUUUUUUUUGUAGAGUUGUGAUACCCAUGAGUUAGUCAGCUUGGGCUAUCAUAACAAAAUACCACACAUUGGUUGGCUUAAACAACAGAAAUUCAUUUUCCUGUAAUUCUGGAGGCUGGAAGUCCAAGAUCAAGGUGACGACAGAGUUGGGUUUCCUCUGAAGCCUCUCUCCUUGGUUUUCAGAUGGGUGUCCUCUUGCUGUCUCUUCAUGUGACUGUCCCUCUGCAUGUGUGCCCCUGGGGACUCUUUCUUAUCUUAUAGUGACACUAGUUCUAUUGGAUUGAAGUGUACCCAUACGACCUCAUUUAAACUUAAUUACAUAUUGUAAGGCCCUAACUUCAAAUACAGUCACAUCCUGAGGUACUGUGUAUUAGGGCUUCAACAUAUAAAUUUUGGGGCAAUCCAGUUCAGCCCAUAAAAUCCCUUUUUGGUUGCUUGAUUCUGUUUAUUUGGUGUCAUGCCUUCCUUUUCCUAAAGAACUUCAUGAAUAGAAUUACUUUCUAAGUGAAAGGAACAAAACUGAUUUUUAUUAAAAAUUAUUUUGAGAUGCUUGUGACAAAUUUUGAAGUAAGUGAAGAUUUUCCUGGAGCUUCUACAAAAUCCUGGCUGAGAAUCCCUGCUUUCUGGACAGUUGAGAAGGAAAUACACUUAGUACAGCUGUUAGAGAGAUAUAGUUGCAACCACUGAGUGCUUAUUAUCUGCCAACUUAAAUAUAUUGCCCAAGGGAAUAACAAAUAUUCUAGUGUUCUUGUUAAGUAUAUUGUCUAAGGUCACACAGCUCUUAAACAACAGCUUCAGGAUUUGAACCUGGAAUCUAUCUGACUCCUAAGUCCAGAUGCUGUUCACCACAUUAGGUUGAAGCAUGGCCAGUGUUCAUAACAUACAACUAUGUCUCCAUAUCUUUUGCUAACCAAUGUUCUUGUAUGUGCAUACCUUACAGGGCAGCCAUUCACCACAAGCCCUACUAGAUGGCUUCCUGUAAUAAGGGUAGAACAGUAGUACUCUCCUUUUGAGAAGUUAUUUGUAAUUUUGUUGGUGGGCUGACAUUUAGGCCCUGCUCUCCAGCCCCAGAGGGGAUCCCAUAACCUAGAUCAGGCCAAUGAUGAUUAUCUCCGUGACUGUAGUGGCUGGUCCAGCGGGGAGGGUCAGGCAGGUAAGCUGGCCCAACCUGAGUCCUUCUUGAGGAUUUUAGAAACUGAAGGUAGGAGAGAAAAAUUCUCUCUUUUCUUCUGGGGAACGGGAUGAAGGUGGUGGGUAGGCAGAGCUGUUGGGAUGUGGAUCCAGGGAUUCUGGAAGUCCUGUCCUCCACCAUGUAAAGAAUACAUCCUGCAGAAGGAGAGAAGGGAGCCAGCACACAGAGAAGCAGAGUCAGGAGAUGGAGAAGGAGAAUCCUGAGAGCCUGAAGGUCCCUGGGUCCAGCCAUUGUCAAGGCCGAGUUCUACCGUCCUUAAGUUGUUUACCUUUCUUUCUUGCUUGCUUCUGUUAGAAGAUGAACACUCAAUGAAAAAUCACCAAACAUCUGAGGAAAGCCAUCAAAAUGAAAUAAACGAAACACACAAGUUCCUAAACACAAGUGAACAGCGUGGGCUGGGUUUUUGUCGCUUGGAACUGGAAACGCUGACGAUAAUGCUGACCUCUGAGCAGACCCACGUGAGGGGCAGCUGUGGUGUGGUGUGAUGAUGCUGGGAUAGGCACUCAGAUGGUUGAGUCUGAGUUUGGCUCUGAUAUUAUAUCAACUGCAUGGGCAGCUGUGGUGUGGUGUGAUGAUGCUGGGAUAGGCACUCAGAUGGUUGAGUCUGAGUUUGGCUCUGAUAUUAUAUCAACUGCAUGGGCAGCUGUGGUGUGGUGUGAUGAUGCUGGGAUAGGCACUCAGAUGGUUGAGUCUGAGUUUGGCUCUGAUAUUAUAUCAACUGCAUGGGCAGCUGUGGUGUGGUGUGAUGAUGCUGGGAUAGGCACUCAGAUGGUUGAGUCUGAGUUUGGCUCUGAUAUUAUAUCAACCGCAUCAUUUUGGGGAAGACACAAUUUCUCAGAAUUUUAUUUAGUUGUAAAAUAAAGAUAAUGAUAUUACAUGCUCUGUCUACCAUCUAGAGUUUUUGUCAAGACAAAC
rnacentral:lncRNA from 1 species